rnacentral:rRNA from 1 species
UAGGGAAUAUUGCUUAAUGGGCGAAAGCCUGAAGCAGCAACGCCGCGUGUGCAAUGAAGGCCUUCGGGUUGUAAAGCACUUUUUGAGGGGAUGAGGAAGGACAGUACCCUCAGAAUAAGUCUCGGCUAACUACGUGCCAGCAGCCGCGGUAAAACGUAGGAGGCGAGCGUUAUCCGGAUUUACUGGGCGUAAAGCGCGUGCAGGCGGCUCGAAAAGUUGGAUGUGAAAGCUCCUGGCUUAACUGGGAGAGGUCGUUCAAUACUUUCGGGCUUGAGGAUGGGAGAGGGGGGUGGAAUUCCGGGUGUAGUGGUGAAAUGCGUAGAUAUCCGGAGGAACACCAGUGGCGAAGGCGGCCUCCUGGCCCAUUUCUGACGCUCAGACGCGAAAGCUAGGGUAGCAAACGG